UAGCUAGUUGGUGAGGUAAUGGCUCACCAAGGCGACGAUCGGUAGCUGGUCUGAGAGGAUGACCAGCCUCACUGGGACUGAGACACGGCCCAGACUCCUACGGGAGGCAGCAGUGGGGAAUAUUGGACAAUGGGCGCAAGCCUGAUCCAGCCAUGCCGCGUGGGUGAUGAAGGCCCUAGGGUUGUAAAGCCCUUUCAGCGGGGAAGAUAAUGACGGUACCCGCAGAAGAAGCCCCGGCUAACUUCGUGCCAGCAGCCGCGGUAAUACGAAGGGGGCUAGCGUUGCUCGGAAUUACUGGGCGUAAAGCGCACGUAGGCGGCUUUCU
rnacentral:rRNA from 1 species